GAUGAACGCUGGCGGCGUGCCUAACACAUGCAAGUCGAACGGAGUUUACAUGAAACCUAGUGAUUGUAAACUUAGUGGCGGACGGGUGAGUAACGCGUGGGUAACCUGCCUCAUACAGGGGGAUAACAGUUAGAAAUGACUGCUAAUACCGCAUAAGACCACAGCACCGCAUGGUGCAGGGGUAAAAACUCCGGUGGUAUGAGAUGGACCCGCGUCUGAUUAGGUAGUUGGUGGGGUAACAGCCUACCAAGCCGACGAUCAGUAGCCGACCUGAGAGGGAGAGCGGCAACAUUGGGACUGCGACACGGCCCAAACUCCUACGGGUGGCAGCAGUCGGGAAUAUUGCACAAUGGGGGAAACCCUGAUGCGGCGACGCCGCGUGAGCGAUGAAGUAUUUCGGUAUGUAAAGCUCUAUCAGCAGGGAAGAAAAUGACAGUACCUGACUAAGAAGCACCGGCUAAGUACGUGCCAGCAGCCGCCGUAA
rnacentral:rRNA from 1 species